GGGUUCCGCUUGACUCUGCAUUCUCCUACUUCCCUGCCUGCUUACUCUCUGCCAUCAUAGUUUUUUGCUUCAACCUUCAAAUGUAGCCAUUCUUUUUCUAAAGCGGUACUUAUUCUCUUUAUUAGUUAAAAUUAUUAAUUUUAUGCACUUACUGUUCUAGCUCCAAUUUUGCAUUUCCAGUUCCCUGCUGGGAAUAAAUUAAAUUGGCAGAAGCUCAGUCUAAGUGCCUGCAACAGAAUUUGUCCCAUAUCCAUACAACUUGCUCCUCCACAACAAAUGGGAGAAUCAUCCUCUUACCUCCAGCACCUGCCUCAAACAAAGUUUCUGAUCCAUCUACCACGUAACUUUGACGCUGACCAAGAAUUACAGCUUCAAAGAAAUCAUUCGAGGAUCAUUAAUAUCUUGGUCAUGAAUAACUUUUAUGUGAAAGGCUCUGCAGCUAAUCUCAAGUGCAGUGAACUCUGUUUCAUUACUGUAUUUCCAAAUUUAGAGUUAUUUGGGUUGUAUAUAGGUCAGAUAAUUUACUUUUUUGUUUUCAACCUAAUAUAAAGCACCUCCAAACUUUCUGCCAUUUGCUAUUACUUUUCUCCCUCAGUGAGUGCCAAAUUAGCUCAAUUUUAGUUAAUUUGCAAGGUCUGACAAUC